rnacentral:lncRNA from 1 species
GGCAACUGAAUCUCGUUCUCUGAAGCUUCUUCUGGUGGUAGGAUGGCACUAGCUUCCUCUCUUCUGUUAGAAGAUAACGUCAGCUCUUGGCAUCUGCCAGUGAAGGCGCAUCUUAUUUCAGCUCCAUACUAAAUUGGGGAGUUCCAGCUUCUACCUUGGAGCUAACGUCACCAUCGUGCUGCGUUCAGAGGAAAUACAAACCCAAUCCCCAAAGCCUUGACAAGCCACGUUUAUCCUUACUAGAAUCUGUUUAAGGAUUAAGAGGGAAUUGCUCAGCAUAUAAAGCAGCAAAACUUUUCUAAGAAUAAAUGAUUCAUAGCAUGGCCUGAGCUCACUGUGAAAGGCCAAGGUAUAUGGAUCAGUGUUUGUUCAAGAAUAAAGCAGAGUGAAAAGAGAGUCAACUGUCCCCCAAGACACUCAAAUUAGAUGAAAAUCCACAGAAGUGUAAUGAACAGAAGGAACAUUUGGGUGAAAAGAUGGAUGGAUGGAAGGAUGGAUAACUGAAUGAUUGGAUAUAUGAAAUGAAGAUAAAUUAUUUAACACAGAGAAACAGAGACUAAUCAAUGAGACAGAAGCAGAUAUAGAAAUACACAGUGCAUGCUACGUCUCUUCAGUUGUGUCUGACUCUG